rnacentral:lncRNA from 1 species
AAGGGUGCAGUAGGAUGCUGUCUCUCUUCAUGACAGCUGUGUCCUCAGCUGAGAAAACCUCAAAGUUGAGUGUGACAACACGGGGGCCACUGAAAUCAUCUGAAGGCUAGUUCAUUCACAACUCUAUAGAUUGUGCUGGAUGCCUUCACCUCUAGACCCAGUUAGCUCUUCAGUAAUAUGAGAAUCAAAGAAAAAAAUCAGAAAAUUACAGAGUCUGAGAGGAGGCAGAGAACCAGAACACAUCAACAAGAGUAUGCCAGUGACCCUUGGAAAACUGUUCUGUCUUUGUGCUGCAAAUGGAAGAAUGACACCAGUCGGCUAUCUGUCAGCAAGCCACAGAAUGAAGCUUCAAAGCUUGGAAGUACUUAAGCUAAAAUUACAUGGGGA